rnacentral:lncRNA from 1 species
CUGAGCUUGUUCUCUUGGGUGGCUAAACCCACUGAGGACUAUGGACAAUAGUCUCACCCCCGUGUUGCUGUUUUGGGGGUACAGGUACACACGUGUGCGGCGCGGCGGCGCAAGGCGAGGACGUAGUUCUGCAGAUAGCGUCCUACCCAGAGACUGAGAUAGCAGUACCCGAGUUGGUGGUCUAGCUUGGGAGGUUUAAAGACAAGAACAAACUUUUGUUUAAGUUGUAAAAGAAUCUGUAAUAAUUAUGAUUGUAUUUGGAGGUUGAUUGUAAAAGAAAAAUUAUGUUGUAAAAUGCAUCUAAGUUGAAUGCUGUAAUAACUUAGUAGUUUAUGUUUUUGAUACUCCUUAUGCAAUCUAUGGUUGAAUACCUGUUCCUGGUUGGAACCUCUCGUAUUGUAUUGAUUGCGAUGCCUUGAAUGUACAGGGGAGACUCUGUCCGUAGUACAGGGGAAACCCUGUCCAUUCGGCGUGUCGGCGGCGCCGGGACCUCGGCCAAAUAGGCGGGUGGUCGCGGGUCGUGACAGUUGGGGUAUCAGAGCAUAAAGUAGAGAAUGGGAAUGGUUUAGGCAGACCUAGGAGACCCUAGGAUAGUGAAACCAUAGAGGUUAAGACUCGUGAGAGACGAGGAUUUGUGACUUGUGGCGAAAGAUAAUUAAUUGGGUCAAGUGUUGAAACCUCUAAGAC